UGACACACAAUUAUUUUUUAGCUUCUCUCUUUCUCUUUCUCUUUUUCUAUUUGUCUUUUGUGUUGUUUAUCAGAUCUCAUAGAAGGUGAAACCAGGAUAGUACUCCACUCAGAGUUGAUGCACAGCUGCACUACGUUUCCCAGCGUCCCCAGCAAGUAGGAGGGACCAUAUGACGAGUUCUGUCAAUGGAUAUGAAUGGAAGUGCUGGCCACUAUUUCCAGGCCUUGACAGUAAAAAUCCUCCUCCCAGCCCUCCACGUUCUCUCUCUGUCCCCAUCUGCAACUGAAUGCAGAGAAGGAAGGUGUCAUAGAAGAUGCAGAGCCACAUGAUGAAAGGAGCCGGGCUCCCUGGAUGAUGGAACAGUCUCCACAGUGACCCUCUUUGGAUUGUGAUAUGAGUGAGUUUGAAACGUCGUUGUGUUCGCCACUGGGAUUUGAGUUUGUUUGCUACAACAGUGUCUUUGUUUGGGUUCCUCCCAGGAUCAGGUUCUGAGAUAUGGAUUGAUGUCCAAGUAGUUUAUUGGGAGGUGAUCCCAGGAAACAUCAGUACACAGGCAAGUGGGAAAGUGAGAAGGAAAAGGGAUGGAUUCCAAUGAAUGGCACAUUAUCUACCAGAUUGUACUGUGGCAGCUGGAGCUCAGUCACACAAGGAAACUCUGGGAGGCAAUACAGAACAUAUCUCAGAGCUAUCCUAACUGAGAGAUGACCAACUGCCACCUGAACUUCUGAAUGGAUUUUUCUCUGCGCCCACUUGAUAUGCUCUACUUCAGUGGGAGGAGGGCAGUGACAAGAAGUCAAGAAGACUUGAAUUCCUGCCAACUGAGAGACGGCUGAAGGAAAUGGGAACAUUUAUCUUGCAGAAGAGAAAUAUGGAGGCCUCAAGGACUGGCAUCAGACAGCUGACUCGCUGCUAUGUGCAAGAAGUGGGCUUAUCUUAAGUUGUCCAGAGUGCAGUAGAAAAUGGAAACUCUGGGCAAUCAGAUUUCAGCUCAAUGUAAGUGAUUUCUCUUUUUUGUUGUUUUGUAAAUUUUUGAGAAAAUGGUUUUAAGUGAUAAAAAUAGCAACAUACUGUUUCUUUCUUUUAAAAAAAAAAAUCAAACAAUAACAAAAUGUCUAAGGUGGAGAGUAAAAGCCUCUUUUCCUUUACUCACUCCCAAUCCCUAGGAAUACCCUUGAUAUCUAUCCUCCCAUGUCCCUAUCUAUGCACAUGCAAACGUGCUAUCCAUACAUACACAUAUGCCUACUACGUGUCCAUAGAAUUUUCCUCUAUUUUUGUUUGCUUUCAAAUAUAUGGCCAUAAAAUGGGUAUAUCUCAGAAUGCAAUGAACAAGAAAGGCCCUUUAAGAGUAAAUUUCUGUGAUUUCCAAAUGUUAUUUUAUAGAGAUGCCCUGCUGAAGGAUCUGAAAUAUAUAACUUUAGUUAUUGACUGUAAAUAUUCAAGGUGUUCCACAGUUUUAGUUAAUCUGACUUUUUUUAUUAAAAAAAGUUUACCAGAUACCUACAAAAUGGAAGUAGGCAUUUUGUACUGAUACUUAUUUUUAAGAGAAAGGAUAUCCAAACAAUUUAAGCUAUUUAAAAAUGGGUGAGCUGCUUAGACGUUUUAGCCACUGGCUAUGUUCAAACAGAGGUUGGUUGACCAGUUGGUUACAACGUUAUAGAGGUGAUUAAUGCCACAGAUGGGAAGGUGGGGAGAGUUGGACUGGGUGCUUUCCAAGAUUCAUUCAGUGCUCUGAUUCCCCGACUUCCUGCGCUCUGCUCACCUGGGCAGUGAAAGAUCGCAGGUGGUGCCCUGUGAAGAGGAGCAGCCAAAUGGCUCCUGCUCCCCAUGGCAGGAACCGCAGGUGCACACACAGUGGCUGGGUCCAGGGCCACUCACUGAUGCAUGGCUGGUGGACAGAAGCGCCUGCAGGCAGCAAUUCUUGUUCCAGCUGCUCUCUGGACAUUCGGGGCUUUCAACUUUGGUACCUGGAUUUAAAAGAAAACAAAUUCCUUUUUAAACAGUGCAGGUUUGAAAUUGAAGCAAAUACUGUACAUUCUUAUAAGCCUGGCAGUGCAGGAAAUUACUCCUUCACCUGUUUCCUAUUUUGACAUUUCAUUAAGAUGGAAUUUAGUGGCUAGAAAAAAUAAUAUUAAAAUAUUUGACCUUAAAAAAAAAAACAAAAACACUGGUUAGAGUCUUCAAUGUUUAGAACUCCCUCUGCUUGUGCUUCUUCUCCUUUUGAAAAAAAAAAUAUAUAUAACUCCCAGAAAAGCUGUGAAAAGAAUACAUCAAACACUUGCAUCCUCUCACCUACAUUCACUAGUUAUUGACAUUUUGCUAUAUUUGCUUUCUCUAUAUGUACAUUUAUUAUUAUUGUUGUUGUUAGGAACUAUUUGAGAUAAGUUGCAGAUAUCAUGACCCUUCCCACCUGAACAUAUCAGCAAGUGUUUCCUAAGAACAAAGACAGAGUGCAAUGAUCAAAUUUAGGAAAUUUAACACAGAUAUGAAUCUCUUACUGAAUACGAUCAUAUCCAAGUUUUGCCAGUCUUUCUGAUAUUGGGGUUUAUAACAUGUUUUCCCAACCCAGGACUUUGUAUUUCUACUUAGUUGUCAUGCUUCUUUUUUUUUUUUUUUCUUUGAGAUGGAGUCUCGCUCUGUC